GUGUAGAGUAUGUGUAUGUGUGUGUAGAAGGUGCACACAUGUAGCAGUGCUUGUAAAUGCCUGUUGUGUAUGUCUAUGUGUAUUUAUGUGCACGUGUGUGUUUGUGUAGUAGUGUGUACAUGUACACAGUGUGGUUAGAGUGUGUGUUUGUGAAUGUGUGUGUAACAGUGUGGGUACUGGCAUGUGCGAUAGCAGCAGUGUGUGUUUGUGUAGGUAACAUUGUGGAUAGCAGCAUGAAUGGGGGAAUGAGAAUGACAUUGAGAUAAACAAGGAGGGCAAACACAAAUUGAGACAAGCAGGAAUUUUAAUGAGAUGAGG